GACGAACGCUGGCGGCGUGCUUAACACAUGCAAGUCGAACGGAAAGGCCCUGCUUUUGUGGGGUGCUCGAGUGGCGAACGGGUGAGUAACACGUGAGUAACCUGCCCUUGACUUUGGGAUAACUUCAGGAAACUGGGGCUAAUACCGGAUAGGAGCUCCUGCUGCAUGGUGGGGGUUGGAAAGUUUCGGCGGUUGGGGAUGGACUCGCGGCUUAUCAGCUUGUUGGUGGGGUAGUGGCUUACCAAGGCUUUGACGGGUAGCCGGCCUGAGAGGGUGACCGGCCACAUUGGGACUGAGAUACGGCCCAGACUCCUACGGGAGGCAGCAGUGGGGAAUAUUGCACAAUGGGCGGAAGCCUGAUGCAGCAACGCCGCGUGCGGGGUGACGGCCUUCGGGUUGUAAACCGCUUUCGCCUGUGACGAAGCGUGAGUGACGGUAAUGGGUAAAGAAGCACCGGCUAACUACGUGCCAGCAGCCGCGGUGAUACGUAGGGUGCGAGCGUUGUCCGGAUUUAUUGGGCGUAAAGGGCUCGUAGGUGGUUGAUCGCGUCGGAAGUGUAAUCUUGGGGCUUAACCCUGAGCGUGCUUUCGAUACGGGUUGACUUGAGGAAGGUAGGGGAGAAUGGAAUUCCUGGGGGAGCGGUGGAAUGCGCAGAUAUCAGGAGGAACACCAGUGGCGAAGGCGGUUCUCUGGGCCUUUCCUGACGCUGAGGGGCGAAAGCGUGGGGAGCGAACAGGCUUAGAUACCCUGGUAGUCCACGCUGUAAACGGUGGGUACUAGGUGUGGGGUCCAUUCCACGGGUUCCGUGCCGUAGCUAACGCUUUAAGUACCCCGCCUGGGGAGUACGGCCGCAAGGCUAAAACUCAAAGGAAUUGACGGGGCCCCGCACAAGCGGCGGAGCAUGCGGAUUAAUUCGAUGCAACGCGUAGAACCUUACCUGGGUUUGACAUGGAUCGGGAGUGCUCAGAGAUGGGUGUGCCUCUUUUGGGGUCGGUUCACAGGUGGUGCAUGGCUGUCGUCAGCUCGUGUCGUGAGAUGUUGGGUUAAGUCCCGCAACGAGCGCAACCCUUGUUCACUGUUGCCAGCACGUUAUGGUGGGGACUCAGUGGAGACCGCCGGGGUCAACUCGGAGGAAGGUGGGGAUGACGUCAAGUCAUCAUGCCCCUUAUGUCCAGGGCUUCACGCAUGCUACAAUGGCUGGUACAGAGAGUGGCGAGCCUGUGAGGGUGAGCGAAUCUCGGAAAGCCGGUCUCAGUUCGGAUUGGGGUCUGCAACUCGACCUCAUGAAGUCGGAGUCGCUAGUAAUCGCAGAUCAGCAACGCUGCGGUGAAUACGUUCCCGGGGCU
rnacentral:rRNA from 1 species